rnacentral:rRNA from 1 species
GAACGGUAACAGGUUAAGCUGACGAGUGGCGAACGGGUGAGUAAUGUAUCGGAACGUGCCCAGUCGUGGGGGAUAACUGCUCGAAAGAGCAGCUAAUACCGCAUACGACCUGAGGGUGAAAGCGGGGGAUCGCAAGACCUCGCGCGAUUGGAGCGGCCGAUAUCAGAUUAGGUAGUUGGUGGGGUAAAGGCCUACCAAGCCUACGAUCUGUAGCUGGUCUGAGAGGACGACCAGCCACACUGGGACUGAGACACGGCCCAGACUCCUACGGGAGGCAGCAGUGGGGAAUUUUGGACAAUGGGCGCAAGCCUGAUCCAGCCAUGCCGCGUGCGGGAAGAAGGCCUUCGGGUUGUAAACCGCUUUUGUCAGGGAAGAAAUCUCCUGGGUUAAUACCUCGGGAGGAUGACGGUACCUGAAGAAUAAGCACCGGCUAACUACGUGCCAGCAGCCGCGGUAAUACGUAGGGUGCAAGCGUUAAUCGGAAUUACUGGGCGUAAAGCGUGCGCAGGCGGUUAUGCAAGACAGAGGUGAAAUCCCCGGGCUCAACCUGGGAACUGCCUUUGUGACUGCAUAGCUAGAGUGCGGCAGAGGGGGAUGGAAUUCCGCGUGUAGCAGUGAA